UGGCCGUUCUUAGUUGGUGGA
rnacentral:ncRNA from 2 species